rnacentral:rRNA from 1 species
GACGAACGCUGGCGGCGUGCUUGACACAUGCAAGUCGAACGGAAAGGCCCUGCUUUUGUGGGGUGCUCGAGUGGCGAACGGGUGAGUAACACGUGAGUAACCUGCCCUUGACUUUGGGAUAACUUCAGGAAACUGGGGCUAAUACCGGAUAGGAGCUCCUGCUGCAUGGUGGGGGUUGGAAAGUUUCGGCGGUUGGGGAUGGACUCGCGGCUUAUCAGCUUGUUGGGGGGGGGGGGGCUUUCCAAGGCUUUGACGGGUGGCCGGCCUGGGGGGGUGCCCGGCCCCAUGGGGGCGGGGAUACGGCCCGGACUCCUACGGGGGGGAGCAGGGGGGAAUAUGGCACAAGGGGCGGAAGCCUGAGGCAGAACCGCCGCGUGCGGGGUGACGGCCUUCGGGUUGUAAACCGCUUUCGCCUGUGACGAAGCGUGAGUGACGGUAAUGGGGAAAGAAGCACCGGCUAACUCCGU